rnacentral:lncRNA from 1 species
GUAUGAUAAGGUCCCCAAGUGUCCACAUGAAUCAGUUGAAAGGGUCUAGAAGUCUUAAUGAAACUAUCAGGAAAUGGAAGCCUAGUCUGUCUGGGCAUAGGACAGACUGAACAUGGAAAAGGCUGUUUGGAAGCAAAUGGGAAAGACAAACCAGAAAUACAUUUCAUAUUUGUAAAAAGGAGUAUGAGCAAUGCUUAAGUGCCAAAUGUAAUUCAUGUCAGAUGUAAGAUCA